UGAUAUGAGGGCAAUUUGGUUGCUGCAUCUAUCACCCCAUUGUUUGCAGGGAUUUAUAUGGCUAAUCUCAUUGGCAAAGGCAGUUAUCCUAUUCCUUUACAUAAUUCCUUACUUAUAUGUGCACCUCCAAAAGCUGUGCACUUGGUGGAAAAUGGAGUCUUCUCAAAUAAACAGGACUAUUCUUCAAUCAUUAGUAUUUCAAUAACUGUAAACCUUUACUAGACCCCAGAGAGUGUCCUCAUGCUUCAGUGUGGAGACACAGUAAGAACAUGUACAAAAGAAGCACAUUCUUAGCAGAAAAGGGGCCCUGCCAGUCAUCAUAU
ensembl:misc_RNA 7SK 7SK RNA